rnacentral:tRNA from 1 species
AAGGCUUUAGUUCAAUUAAAGCACCUGUUUUGCAUUCAGGAGAUGUAAGUUAAAGUCUUGCAAGUCUUA